ACUGUGUGUUAGUCUACAGAGAGCAGCAGCCGCAGCAGCAUGCAUUGUCCCAGGAUGUAUUACAGUAUAUGGGUGCCCCCUAGCGUAUGAAGUUUUUGCUUCAAAUACGAUUCAAUUUAGAGGAGCCAUCCGACACGGAAACUGCUUCAGUCUCGUCUCCCGCAUCGACCAAACUAACGAGCACCAUUUCAAACUGAUGACUGUUUGUUUAAAUUCUGUUUUACAUGACUUGGACGGCAAAGCUUUGAGAGUUGCCAAAGUUGGAUUUACUUUUAGCCACUUCAGACAGUCCCGGCGGUGGUAUUUAGACCAAUUAUGUCUUUAUUCUAAAACAAAUUAGCCAAUUAUAUUUUGUCUGCAUGACUAUUUUGUCGGUUUUAUUUACAGAUCCCGUGAACAUGAAGAGUCUGUAAAUUAAAAAAAAAAAAAAAAACUCCGCAAGGUAUCCACGUAUCGAUGAUCCAGCUUUGCUUCAAAUGGAACUACUGCUGAAGUACCCUUCGGCAAAGCAGCUUAAACCCCAUCUGUCCCAGUGGAGCUGCACAGUGACCAGCAGUACAAGACUGCGGUUGUACCGGGCACUUGAGAGAUGUGUCUCUUUGAGUGUGACCUACCCUCCCAUUUCUUUUUAAAGAGGGAGAGUGGGCAGUCCACUCGCCUCACACUUUUUUCUUUUUUUUUUCAUGUACUCAGACAGUGAAAAAGUUUGGGAGAAGACACAAGAGAGAAAGCUGUGGCAGCAUUCAGUCCUAAGCCAGACAUGGUUCACAUGUGGCCCCAAAGGCAGCAGACAGUGUAUUGAAUUACUGUAACUCAAGGUGUGAUGUGGUAGCAGUGUGUGGUAUGUAAGAAUUACACACACGGAUGUAGAAGAGGCUUACUUCAGCUUUGUGUUACAGCUAUUUAAUGUUGAGUUGUAUGGUUUAUUUUCUUAAAUUUCCACUAUAACCAUUUAUUAGUUAAAAACGGCAGCCAUACUUUCUAUAUUGAUCAUCAAUGUCUCAGUAUCAUUAGAUUUACCAAUUAUAUCAAACCCAUAGUGUCAUGUGAAAACCUUUCAUCUCUAGGUUUUGUGAUUUUCAUGUGUUAUUUUACAUUAAAGAAUGAUAUGGUUUGUAGAGUGAGGAGCAAAACAAUUCAAACGGUGCUGGAUCAACUCAUAAAUGCAUGUUGGUAAACAUAAAACCGUAGCUGUGUCUCUUACUUCUUAAAGAUUUUGGACAUGUUGGAAACACAGGAUUUUCAUGUGACAUGUACAAUUAUAGGAUGACCAAUUAAGCAUUACUGUUUGAAGUGUUAGUAGCCAAAUAAGCAUUGCUGUGUAUAAUUGCAGUUUGCAGUGUUACACCCGCCACAUCUAUGACUAAUAAAGUUUUAAGAUAUCAUAUGAGCUGUGUUUUAACUGAUGUUCUUUAUACAGUACCUGUACCUAAUGUUGGGCACUUAUAUUUCAAUAGUUUGAAGCUUUCUACAGUUACCAUGAUAUUUUACUGUAAAUGUGUAAAUAAAGCUUGCUUUUUUUCUCCACAGGAACUAUUGUUUCAACUGAAUGAGACAUGCUGUUAACAUCUAUAAUGAUAGAUUGAAAAUAUUGACAGUGCACCUCCCUAUUUGUGACAUUAUUCUCUAGCUAAAUCAGACUUUAGCUUCACUCAUUCAGCAAGAUAUCCAGAUUAAAAAAAUACAGAUUUAGCAAAACCACGUAGGUACUGCAAGUCUUAUGACAGCCAGUCUUUAUCUUACCACAUUGAAAAUAAGAAUAUGACACUCUACACUGAAAAAUGAUAGCAUCUUUCUGUGGUGCAAAUGUGCACGAUUUGAACAUUUGUGAAAAGAGUAUGAUACUCACAUUUCCUGAAAUUAAAGCAUAGUUGGAGUUAACACUAAAAUUAACAACAGUAACAUAUUACAUUGGGCACUUUCACCAGUUCCAAGCCUAAAGACUGAAGGUUGAGAAAUCAAUCCAGCUUAAAUGUUUUAACAUCUCUGUGAAAGUGCUGCAGACAUACAUUUUAUAACUAUGAACAAAAUUAGCAGCCCAUGAAUACUGACGAUGUUAACUACAUCUCUACUUCCACAGGUAGUGAUUCAACAUUUGUGAAUGGAACAUAUUGUAAAAUAGCAAAUAUUUCCAUUCGAGGUUUUUCAAUCACACAAGUCCACAUGUGAUCAAUGGUCCUUGUGAACUGAUGGAGGGAAUAAAAGCAAAUGGAAUGUGAAUGGGAUUUGGUAAGACCUUCACAACGGUGAUGAUGCCGAAUGAUAAAGAGAUAUGAUAUGAAGAUGACCUUAAGGUGAAAAGCCAUUAACAAAACAGGAAUCACUUAUUUACAGGAUCUUGGUUACUUUAUUGUCAUGUGAGGACACACAGAAGCUGCUGCUAGAGCUCACAACAUGAGAGUCAAUACUCCCUGGAUGAUGUCAUCAGAGUCAAAUCUUAGACUUGCUCCACCGACAGUAAAUUGAGAGGGGAUUUGUGGACAUGUGAUAGUGCCCAGAGGUUAGAAAAAGACACAAGUUACUGUGUUCUCAAAUACAUUCUGAGGUGGAAACAGUAUUUGUUUGUAAUCUUCCAAUUUAUGAGUCUUGCUAAUUAACUACCAUGGUCAGUUAUAUAAAACGUAUACAAAACUCUUGUCAGUGUAGUGUGUCAUUUCACAAUGUUUAGUAUUUAUUUUAAGCUAAGUGACAUUACUUACUCGAUAAGUGUACACUCACCAACACUUUUCUAAACACACAAUUUCAGUGGUAGUUCUUAUAUCAUGCAACCACACUUCAUAAACACUAUUUGAGGAAGACAAGGUAACCAGUUAGAUCUCUAUUUAUUCAGUUUCUAAAAUGCAUUUAACAGUGAGACAAUACCAGACUAUUCUGUCAGCAUACCACCACAUUUCAGCAUUAGAAAAUGUUAUUCAUGUUGGAAUGUUGUAUGUUAGGACAAAUCAGGACAGUUACAGCAUAUCCGCUACAUGGUAUGGUGACAUACCAGUGCAGAGCUCAACAAAGAGUGAAUUAGGAAUAAGUAUUCUCUGCUGUACGGUUGCACAGUGAUUGUCUACACAUAAAUGUGUAUAUUCUGAAUGUGAACUGUCAAAAUAAAAUGCUGCACCACUGUAAUGUGAAGCUGACUUGAAAGUAAAUGUCCAGUAACUGUU